UCUCGUGACUGCGUGCCUUUUGAAGAAUGAGCCUGCGAGUUUGCGGUGUGUUGCGAGGUUAACCCGUUGUGGGGUAGCCGUAGCGAAAGCGAGUCCGAAUAGGGCGGUUGAGUAGCACGCUCAAGACCCGAAGCGGAGUGAUCUAGCCAUGGGCAGGUUGAAGCGGAGGUAAGACUUCGUGGAGGACCGAACCCACCAGGGUUGAAAACCUGGGGGAUGACCUGUGGUUAGGGGUGAAAGGCCAAUCAAACUCCGUGAUAGCUGGUUCUCCCCGAAAUGCAUUUAGGUGCAGCGUCGUGUGUUUCUUGCCGGAGGUAGAGCACUGGAUAGGCGAUGGGCCCUACCGGGUUACUGACCUUAGCCAAACUCCGAAUGCCGGUAAGUGAGAGCGCGGCAGUGAGACUGUGGGGGAUAAGCUCCAUGGUCGAGAGGGAAACAGCCCAGAGCAUCGACUAAGGCCCCUAAGCGUACGCUAAGUGGGAAAGGAUGUGGAGUCGCAGAGACAACCAGGAGGUUGGCUUAGAAGCAGCCACCCUUGAAAGAGUGCGUAAUAGCUCACUGGUCUAGUGAUUCCGCGCCGACAAUGUAGCGGGGCUCAAGCGUACCGCCGAAGUCGUGUCAUUGCAGCAUAUACGCCCAACGGCGGCUGUGAUGGGUAGGGGAGCGUCGUCUGCCGGGUGAAGCAGCACCGGAAGGUAGUUGUGGACGGUUGACGAGUGAGAAUGCAGGCAUGAGUAGCGAUUCACACGUGAGAAACGUGUGCGCCGAUUGACUAAGGGUUCCUGGGUCAAGCUGAUCUGCCCAGGGUAAGUCGGGACCUAAGGCGAGGCCGACAGGCGUAGUCGAUGGAUAACCGGUUGAUAUUCCGGUACCCGCUGUGAAGCGUCAAACAUCGAGCAUCGUGAUGCUAAGGCCGUGAAGCCGCCCUUGAUCUCUUCGGAGUGAUGGGGAGUGGUGGAGCCGCUGAACCAAGCGGUUAGUAGGUGAGUGAUGGGGUGACGCAGGAAGGUAGUCCAUCCCGGGCGGUGGUUGUCCCGGGGUAAGGGUGUAGCCCGAGUGGUAGGCAAAUCCGCCACUCAUACAAGGGUGAGACCUGAUGCCGAGCCGAUUGUGGUGAAGUGGAUGAUCCUAUGCUGUCGAGAAAAGCCUCUAGCGAGUUUCAUGGCGGCCCGUACCCUAAACCGACUCAGGUGGUCAGGUAGAGAAUACCGAGGCGUUCGGGUGAACUAUGGUUAAGGAACUCGGCAAAAUGCCCCCGUAACUUCGGGAGAAGGGGGGCCACACCUGGUGAGGAUCUUUACGGUCUGAGCUGGGGGUGGCCGCAGAGACCAGCGAGAAGCGACUGUUUACUAAAAACACAGGUCCGUGCGAAGCCGUAAGGCGAUGUAUACGGACUGACGCCUGCCCGGUGCUGGAACGUUAAGGGGACCGGUUAGCUCCAUUUCGGUGGGGCGAAGCUGAGAACUUAAGCGCCAGUAAACGGCGGUGGUAACUAUAACCAUCCUAAGGUAGCGAAAUUCCUUGUCGGGUAAGUUCCGACCUGCACGAAUGGCGUAACGACUUCUCGACUGUCUCAACCAUAGGCCCGGUGAAAUUGCACUACGAGUAAAGAUGCUCGUUUCGCGCAGCAGGACGGAAAGACCCCGGGACCUUUACUACAGUUUGAUAUUGGUGUUCGGUUCGGCUUGUGUAGGAUAGCUGGGAGACUGUGAAGCAUGCACGCCAGUGUGUGUGGAGUCGUCGUUGAAAUACCAGUCUGGUCGUGCUGGAUGUCUAACCUGGGUCCGUGAUCCGGAUCAGGGACAGUGUCUGAUGGGUAGUUUAACUGGGGCGGUUGCCUCCUAAAGAGUAACGGAGGCGCCCAAAGGUUCCCUCAGCCUGGUUGGCAAUCAGGUGUUGAGUGUAAGUGCACAAGGGAGCUUGACUGUGAGACCGACGGGUCGAGCAGGGACGAAAGUCGGGACUAGUGAUCCGGCGGUGGCUUGUGGAAGCGCCGUCGCUCAACGGAUAAAAGGUACCCCGGGGAUAACAGGCUGAUCUUCCCCAAGAGUCCAUAUCGACGGGAUGGUUUGGCACCUCGAUGUCGGCUCGUCGCAUCCUGGGGCUGGAGUCGGUCCCAAGGGUUGGGCUGUUCGCCCAUUAAAGCGGUACGCGAGCUGGGUUUAGAACGUCGUGAGACAGUUCGGUCCCUAUCCGCUGUGCGCGUAGGAGUCUUGAGAAGGGCUGUCCCUAGUACGAGAGGACCGGGACGGACGAACCUCUGGUGUGCCAGUUGUUCUGCCAAGGGCAUGGCUGGUUGGCUACGUUCGGGAGGGAUAACCGCUGAAAGCAUCUAAGCGGGAAGCCUGCUUCGAGAUGAGGACUCCCACCCACUUGAUGGGGUAAGGCUCCCAGUAGACGACUGGGUUGAUAGGCCGGAUCUGGAAGCACGGUAACGUGUGGAGGUGACCGGUACUAAUAGGCCGAGGGCUUGUCCUCAGUUG
rnacentral:rRNA from 1 species